CGUCAUCGUAGGGUUAGUCGGGACCUAAGUCGAGUCCGAAAGGGGUAGACGAUGGCAAAUCGGUUAAUAUUCCGAUACCGACGGUUGUUUGUUUGAAUGAUGGAGGGACGCAUAGGGCUAAUCGAGCUCACUGAUGGAAUAGUGGGUCGAAGGGUGUAGGUUGUUAAGUAGGCAAAUCCGCUUAACAUGAGACCGAGAUCUUACAGGCUCUUCAAUAGCUUCGGCUAGCGAGGAGAAUCGAUGAUACUGUCGUGCCGAGAAAAGCCUCUAAAUGAGAACAACCGUUGCCCGUACCGUAAACCGACACAGGUGGGUGAGAUGAGUAUUCUAAGGCGCGUGGAUGAACCCUGGUUAAGGAACUCUGCAAACUAGCACCGUAUCUUCGGUAUAAGGUGUGCCCUGACUGUUAAGAGAUUUACUCUCUGAAGCGGUCAUGGGUCGCAGCAAAGUGUCCCUCCCGACUGUUU
rnacentral:rRNA from 1 species